GGGGCCGUACAGGUUUUGACGGGGAAAGGCUGGUCCUAGAUUGCAGUGGGGUGGUGACCCUAAACACCAAAAAACAAUAAAUGACAACACUGUCAAACCUUGGCAACUCCGCGCUUCCAGCCGCGUUGCCGCUCUUGCCUAAUUGAGCUCCUGAAACAGGGAUCCGCGAAUCGCGGAAGAGCACGUCUACCCUUGCGUUCGCGCCUUGGCAAGGGCUAGGCGCAAUAGAAGGCGAUAAGCCCGAACCAUUGGACUGGUGGUGAGGGAUGAAAAUCACACAGUCGGAUCCAGGGGAUAACUCGUUCCUAUCGUUCUCCUGGAUUACUAGAUAGGGACUAAACUGUAGAGAUCUUUGACGGGCGUUCUUCGGACCAGGGUUCGAUUCCCUGCGACUCCACCA
rnacentral:tmRNA from 1 species